UAACGGAGGAGCACGAAGGUGGGCUAAUCACGGUUGGACAUCGUGAGGUUAGUGCAAUGGCAUAAGCCCGCUUGACUGCGAGAAUGACAAUUCGAGCAGGUGCGAAAGCAGGUCAUAGUGAUCCGGUGGUUCUGAAUGGAAGGGCCAUCGCUCAACGGAUAAAAGGUACUCCGGGGAUAACAGGCUGAUACCGCCCAAGAGUUCAUAUCGACGGCGGUGUUUGGCACCUCGAUGUCGGCUCAUCACAUCCUGGGGCUGAAGUCGGUCCCAAGGGUAUGGCUGUUCGCCAUUUAAAGUGGUACGCGAGCUGGGUUUAGAACGUCGUGAGACAGUUCGGUCCCUAUCUGC
rnacentral:rRNA from 1 species